UAAGGAAUAUUGGACAAUGGAGGCAACUCUGAUCCAGCCAUGCCGCGUGAAGGAAUAAGGCCCUAUGGGUUGUAAACUUCUUUUAGACGGGACAAAACCCCUUGACGUGUAAAGGGUUGAUGGUACUGUCAGAAUAAGCAUCGGCUAACUUCGUGCCAGCAGCCGCGGUAAUACGAAGGAUGCAAGCGUUAUCCGGAAUUAUUGGGUUUAAAGGGUGCGUAGGCGGACUAAUAAGUCAGUGGUGAAAGCCUGCAGCUUAACUGCAGAAUUGCCAUUGAUACUGUUAGUCUUGAGUACAGUUGAGGUAGGCGGAAUGUGUCAUGUAGCGGUGAAAUGCUUAGAUAUGACACAGAACACCGAUUGCGAAGGCAGCUUGCUAAGCUGUAACUGACGCUGAGGCACGAAAGCGUGGGGAGCAAACA
rnacentral:rRNA from 1 species